AGUGAACGCUGGCGGUAGGCCUAACACGUGCAAGUCGAACGGCAGCACAGUAAGAGCUUGCUCUUACGGGUGGCGAGUGGCGGACGGGUGAGGAAUACAUCGGAAUCUACUUUUUCGUGGGGGAUAACGUAGGGAAACUUACGCUAAUACCGCAUACGACCUACGGGUGAAAGCAGGGGAUCUUCGGACCUUGCGCGAUUGAAUGAGCCGAUGUCGGAUUAGCUAGUUGGCGGGGUAAAGGCCCACCAAGGCGACGAUCCGUAGCUGGUCUGAGAGGAUGAUCAGCCACACUGGAACUGAGACACGGUCCAGACUCCUACGGGAGGCAGCAGUGGGGAAUAUUGGACAAUGGGCGCAAGCCUGAUCCAGCCAUACCGCGUGGGUGAAGAAGGCCUUCGGGUUGUAAAGCCCUUUUGUUGGGAAAGAAAAGCAGCAGGUUAAUACCCCGCUGUUCUGACGGUACCCAAAGAAUAAGCACCGGCUAACUUCAUG
rnacentral:rRNA from 1 species